rnacentral:rRNA from 1 species
UGGGGAAUUUUGGACAAUGGGGGCAACCCUGAUCCAGCAAUGCCGCGUGAGUGAAGAAGGCCCUCGGGUUGUAAAGCUCUUUUGUCAGGGAAGAAACGGAGUUCUCUAAUAUAGGAUUCUAAUGACGGUACCUGAAGAAUAAGCACCGGCUAAUCUACGUG